GCGGCCAUGGCGGAAUUGGCAGACGCGCAAGAUUAAGGAUCUUGUGAGGGUUAACCUCAUGGAAGUUCGAAUCUUCUUGGCCGCA
rnacentral:tRNA from 1 species